rnacentral:tRNA from 1 species
GGGGGUUUAGCUCAGCUGGUAGAGCGCUUGCAUGGCAUGCAAGAGGUCAGCGGUUCGACUCCGCUAAUCUCCA